CAAGUAAAUCGCCUUAUCGCUUUCCGUUUAUCGGAAGGAGGAAAGUCCGAACACCGUAGUGCAACAUAGUGGCUAAUAACCACCAGUCGUGAGGCUAGGAAAAGUGCAACAGAAAGUAUGUACAGGUCAUGCUGUAGUGAAACCAGGUAAACUCUAUGUGGUGCAAUGUCAUGUAUACCAACGUUUGAGGGCGGCACGCUCGAUUGUUGGAGGGUAGACAGCUAAAGUGUAUUGGUAACAAUGCACACAGAUAAAUGAUAAGGGUGUUUUAAGUUUGUUUGGAGUUUUCUUUAAAUGGAUUUAGGACAUACAGAAUUCGGCUUAUAGAUUUACUUAAGCA
rnacentral:RNase_P_RNA from 1 species